rnacentral:rRNA from 1 species
UACAGAGACGGCAAGCGUUGCUCGGAUUCAUUGGGCGUAAAGGGUCCGCAGGCGGUCGGGUAAGUCGGAUGUGAAAUCCCGUGGCUUAACCACGGAAAGUCAUUCGAAACUGCUCGGCUUGAGGGUUGGAGAGGAGACUGGAAUUGUCGGUGUAGCGGUGAAAUGCGUAGAGAUCGACAAGAACACCGGUGGCGAAGGCGAGUCUCUAGACAACUCCUGACGCUCAGGGACGAAAGCCAGGGGAGCAAACGGG